AACCACAGGGUCUUUAUAGCUAAAUGUGAUGUUAGGGGGUGGAACUUGGCCAGAAGAGGCAGGUUAGUGGAAGCAUGAUCUGGCAGAGUAUCUCUCACACUCUCUGUCUCCCCCUUUUUCUUCCCUUCACUUUGCGACCUGGCUUCUAUGAGGUGAGCAGAUUUCCUCCUUAGCAGACCCUUCCAGCAUGCUGUCAAUCAUGCAAAGACUGCAACUUCUGAUACCUGCGCUAUACUGAGAUUCAAGAGAAAAUGGCACCAUCGAGUGAUUUUCAGUUUUCAAAUUCCCAUAAAGUAUUGGUGGAGGACAGCUUGGUUGCUGAAAACAUAAGCAUUAAAAGUGAAGUCAAUUGCUUCAUGUGAGGAUAACGGAAAAGAUGUCUUGAAAGCAUCUGAGGAAUAGGCAAGACCUUAUUCUUUGAAGGCUCCAGGGUGCAAAAGUGAAAGACUUUGCUUUGAGAAGUCAGAUCCCAUGCAUUCUGCUCAAGAAAAGUUGCCUAGUAAAUUGGUUUUCAAAACCCAAUUCACAGUGCUCAGCCAUUCAGACACUCUGAGACCUCUUCAACCAUGAUGCAAAAAGGCCUGGUUACUGCCGGGGCUGGCAGCAGACAUUAACAUCAACCAUGUGGUCCUAGUUUUAUAGGCAUGCAUAAUGCAAGAUCUGUAGGGUCAAGGAUGCUUCUACCAAGAUUUCAGAGGAAGGCCUUGAAGGCUAUGCAGUGUGCCCCUGGAAUGACAGUGAGUGAAGCUGUUAGAGUGAAGCUCAAAGUAGAGUGAAGAUCCAAGGAAGGUGAAGAAGCCAGGAGCAUGGAAGAUCUGUGGACAUCUAUAGGCAUGAGCAAAGCCAGCCUAAGAGAGAAGCCAUGAGGGCUGCAACCGCCAGCAGUACUUUAGGGACAGAACUGUACAAGCCAUUUGGAGAUCUCAUCUUUGACCCUCGUCCUGGACAAGGAAUUACAGAAUUCAAUAUUUGC